UACGUAGGGGGCAAGCGUUGUCCGGAAUUAUUGGGCGUAAAGAGCGCGUAGGCGGUCCGAUAAGUCGGCUGUGAAAGUCAGGGGCUCAACCCUUGAAAGCCGGCCGAUACUGUCGGACUAGAGUCCGGAAGAGGCAAGUGGAAUUCCCGGUGUAGCGGUGAAAUGCGCAGAUAUGCGGAGGAACACCGAUGGCCGAAGGCAAUCCCCUGGGCCUCG
rnacentral:rRNA from 1 species